CUUGCGCUGCGUCUAUGUCUCUGAAGUCUGUAUGCCUAAUCUCAACAUUCUAGCUUUUAUAGUUCCUCAGAUCUCGACGUUCAUACGGACAGUCGUUAAAAAUUUUUUUUUUAAAUUGAAAUGUAUCAAUUCAUAAAUCUAUCAUGUUACGUACUUGAAAUUUUAAAAGAGGGCGCCACUGUUCAGUAAACAGCUGUUUAGUCAGCUGUUUCGUUUGCGCUGGCACACCGAUAACCGAAUUUUUGUUAAUCGCUGAAAAAUCUUACAAGUGACAAAAAGUGUAUAACAAUUAUCAAAAGUAUUGCUUAUAACAUGCAGUCGAAUCCUUGUGGUUUUUAAUAUGUGUUUGUGAUCUUCGAAUGUUAAAAUUAACUGUGGUGUCCCAAUAAACUUCAGGUCUAACCUCAAAGUGAAAAAAAGCAAAUUGUUGGAGAAAUGGAUAACAAAGACGACGAGUAAUGCAAAAAAUAACGCCAUUUUUAAUAGUUUUUAAGCUUCAAUUAAUGUAUGACGAUUAACAAUAGGUGUGAAACAUAAAUAUA